UGAGCCGAGAUCGCGCCACUGCACUCCAGCCUGGGCGGCUGAGCUAGACUCCGUCUCAAAAAAAAAAAAAAAAAAAAAAAAUUCUAGUAUACAUCAUUGUAAAUGAUUGAGUUAAUCAGACCUUUCUUUCAUGGGAGUAUAAAACUGAGAUUCACAGAGAGGGAGUAGAAAUUUUAAAAAGAAAACUCUGUUUAGAGAAGUGAGGAAGAAGAAGCCGUGAGGUAGAAGUCAAGAGCUAGGAAAGAAAAUGGAGAGAGCAGCUGGUAGCAGAGUAGGAGCUGAACCGGGCCAUGGAGAAGGAACUAUCCGGAGUAGAUCUGAAACGAAGCCAAGCAAAGCAACAUCACCUUCUGGAAAGUGCAGAAACUGCAAUCAAGAUCAACAAAGAAAAGCACCCUUCCCAUAGAUUCAUCUCUUUGGCGUUUAAGUGUUUGGGCGAGUCUACAAAACUCAGAUUCCUCAUUUAACUAGAUGUUCCAGGUCACAGAGAUAUUCUACUAAGGCAAUUUUCAAAAGACCAUAAAACCACCACAUCAAUUUAUGCUUGCAGGCUAUAGUGCAGUAAUAUCAUCAUGGCUCACUGCAAUCUCGACUUCUCCAGCUCAAACAAUCCUCCCACCUCAGCCUCCCAAGCAGUUGGGACUACAGGCACGUGUCAUUACACCCAGACAGGGUAUCACUCUGUUGCCCAGGUUGGAUUCCAGUGGCAUGAUCAUGGCUCAGUGCAGUCUCGACUUCUGGGGUUCAAGCGAUUCCCCCAUCUCAGCCUCCUCAGUGGCUAGGAUCACAGGUAUACACCACCAUACCCAGAGUCAUGCAGGGUGAGCCAUUCUUGCCACUGAGAAGUAUGUCAUAUCUGAGAACAACUGACCCAGAUAAUUGCUCAGUAAGAGUAUAUUUGAGAUUAUUGAAGACUUAAAAGCAUCUCAUUAUUAAAUGUGCUAUAUCAUGUUUUUCACUUUAGGCUCCAAGUGUUUUUGACUUGAUAAAGUUUUGUUGUGUUAAUUUUGAUCACUUUAAUCUUUUAUUGGAUCAUUUUCCCACAUUAAAUUUAAAUAGGAAGAACAUAUGUACUGCUGUUUUGCCAUAAACUCUGAUGUGCCUCAACUGGCUUCCAACUUCAGUCUGUUCUGGAAGGCUGUACUUACAGGUCUCAGCCAGCAAGCUGAAACUGACAAAGGAGCGUUCCACUUCUCUGCUGUAAAAGUUGUACUUACCUUGUUUUCAUGAAACCAAUCUCCGUUUCCAAGGAAACAAGAACAAAAAGGCAGUUGGCAGCUAGCAUCUGGGACUUAGAAGAACUCUCACAUGUCAAUUUCAACUGCUGGCUGCCGGCUCAAACGUAAAGAUGUGGGGUAUUAAAAUCACCUUCAGACUUGUAACGUACAAAAGAAUAUUAAGGUUUUUUCCUUAGUGUUUAAAUAAUCAAGUUUAAUAGCAAACCAUUUAAAAUAUCCUUUGAAAUACUAUAACAAAUAUUAUAAUUGUUAAAAAUUAUCUAAUACAAAAACUUGUUUUAUUUAAAAACAGUAGGCACAUAUAUUGCAGAUAUUUUCUCAGUUUUACACCAUAAAUUUUUGCCACUUUUCCCCUUUUACUUAAUCAUUUCACUUUCUCCUUUUUAAAUAAUGAUUCAUAUGGUCCCAACUACUUACUCCUUUCUCUUUUCUUUUUUUUUUUUUUUUUUUUUUGAUUCAUGCAAAAUAUCCAGAUAGUGUCUGUUUUAUCCGUAAAGCUUUGUGGCCAUGUUUAGUGUUUUAAUAAAGUGUUUUAAUGAUGAAACAUGAAAAUGCACAUUGUCAUUUUUCUCUUAAAAAUAUAAUUUCAUGAUUCUAGGCUUGGACACCUACAUUAACACAACCUGCU
rnacentral:lncRNA from 1 species